CCUACGGGAGGCAGCAGUGAGGAAUAUUGGGCAAUGGACGGAAGUCUGAACCAGCCAUGCCGCGUGCAGGAAGACGGCUCUAGGAGUUGUAAACUGCUUUUGUACAAGGGUAAACAUGAACACGUGUAUUCAGCUGAAAGUACUGUACCAAUAAGGAUCGGCUAACUCCGUGCCAGCAGCCGCGGUAAUACGGAGGAUCCAAGGGGUAUACGGAUUUAUUGGGUUUAAAGGGUGGGUAGGCGGAUUGACAAGUUAGAGGUGAAAUGUCCGGGCUUAACUCGGGAACUGCAUUUGAUACUGUUGAUCUAGAGAGUAGGUGCGGUAGGCGGAAUGUAUGGUGUAGCGGUGAAAUGCUUAGAGA
rnacentral:rRNA from 1 species